GGCAGAGCACGCCUGAAUUCAGCCACUGUGUGUGGGCGCUGAUUCUGGCUUAUAGUCACGUCCCAGUUCAGAAGUCUGAGCCCCCUGCCUCCAUAUCUGGAGGACACCGUGGUUCCUGAAUUCUGAGUUGGCUCACUGGGCUGGAGCCUGCUGCGUGCCUGACCCCAGGAACCUGUCCCCGACAGGAAGGAGAAGUGUAGUCAAGGAAGUGUGGCAGACCUGACUCCAGACAAUUAGAAAAACAUCACCGUGCCUCAUAGUGGAAGGUGAGCAUGACUUCAACUGUACCCUUAAAAAGAAAUGGGGUGGGGAAGGAUGUUUUUCUUUUCUGCCUUAAGAGAGAAGCCGGUCUACCUAACACCCUCCACUCCUCCUAACAGCCUGUAAAUACACACCCAAACCUGGAGAAAAAAUUACAAGCACACUUCCCACCUCGCGGACUAGAAAACACGUUCCACUUGCUCCAUCUAUUCUCUUUUAAAGGUUGGCUCCUUAAUUCUCCUCCCUCAAGACCUGCUGAAGUCAAGUUGCUCAGGGAUUGUUUAGGAGAGAGCUGGGCUGCAGAACAAGCUCAGAAUGCUCAGCUGGUCCUCAUAUCCAUAAUGGAAGGGGUCCAUCACACCCGAGGCUGGGCUUCCUGCCUCCCUCCCAGGACUUUGAGAAAUGUAAAAGGAGAAAAAGUGCACCAACGGCAACAAAAAUAUGUGCCUAUCAUUAAAGCAUAUAAGAAAAAGAAAAGAGAAAAUGGGGGAAAAGAAUGGGAAGUCAAACAUAGGCUAUUAGUUGAGCAUAGGUUCUGGAAUUAGACUACUUGGGUUCAAAUAUUAGCUCUGCUAUGUCCUUGAAGUAUGACCAUGGACACCUCACUUCAUUGUUCCCUGCCUCACUUUUCCUAACUGUACUGCAGUACAAGGACCCACCUCUGUAGACUUCCACAGGGUUAAAUGAGACAGCUCAUGCCUAGGAACGUGGGUUGUCAAUCAUGAAGCAGGUGCUUGGUAGCCAUCAGAAUGACUGCAGGACGGUACAAUGUAUCAGACCAGUACACCUGUAUGAGCUUGGUGUCAUAACACUCUGAUGGGUCCCAAUCAGCUGCGCGAAGCUUCACAACAGAAAUUUGUUAUAAAGUUUAGUUACAGUAUCAAUGUAUAUGAAGGCUCUAUUAAAAGUAAUAAAUUGAUCUGGAA
rnacentral:lncRNA from 1 species